UCGAUCUCGAUCUCUUUCUCUUCCUCUUAGGGACUAUUCCUCGCUCGCGCUCUAUCUCUGCCGACUGGACCUUCUAGGAAGGGGGGCCUACUUGGCCUCCUCAGGACUCGUGUUCCGUCACACUCAAAGGCUAAUGCUUACGACGACACCGAUCUUCCGAUGUACCUACGUACCGGUACUAUUCAGAGCUAGAUCCAUCCAUGCUGAUGAUGAUCACCGCGACUCUGAGUUUCGCGAAUCAAUUCAAACUUACGAGAUUACGAUUUCAACGAAAGAUAAUUUGCACUGGGGAGAAAGGUUUGACUCGGUAUAUGAUGAUGAAUCUCAGUUGUCUGGUAUGCAUGGAACGCAAAGAGAACUCAUCGAGGACCUUUUAUGGACAAUAAUUUUUUUAUUGGUAUAAAAUUAUAACUCAGAAAUGAGAAAACACCGACGUUUCAAAGAAUAUUUUAUAUGCUAGUGAUGUUGAUGUUAGAAAAUGAUGUCAGUUAUUUCUAUUGAGUGAUUUUCAAAAUUCAAAAUACUUUUAUUCAAUUUUUUGAAAUCCACAGGAAAAAAAAAGAAAUAUAAAAAAUUAAAGUAAUACGACUAUCAUAUACAAAAAAUUAUGUGAGAGUCACAAAAAUUAAAAUUACAAGAAAAAAAGAGAAUUUAUCUACCUAAAAUAGUAUUGCAACAUUAGGAACGAAUCAACGAAUCAUUCUUCUCGACCUCGUCGGACUCAAAAGGGUUCAAGUGAAAAUCACUUUUCAAGAAUAAAAUACGUGAAUAUCCUAGACAAAUCCAAAGUUACCCAAAUUAUCGCAGAAGCCAUACAUUGACCUUUAGAGGGCCGGAAAAACCCGGAGGGCAGAUGAACCCAUGAUAGGAACAUUGCAUACAGUAAACCCAUGUUACAAGACUCAAGUUUGGGUCGUUUUAAAAAGACGUUCUAAGAUCUCAAACUCCGGCCCUCUAAAGGCUAAAGGCUAAAGGAACUCAGAGUCUAUUGUAUACAGAUACGUAUAAGCGCAAGCUGAAAGUGCAAUACAUUCACUAUGACAAAUGCAUCCUCGGUUAACCGAAAUAACCAUGUAAAGGGAGCAAGAUCUCAGUUAAACAGCUCGCUGGGUUUACGCCUUGUGCACGCGUGGUGCUUGAUGCGUGGUGCUACGCACGUCUCACGCUCGUGUCCGUUAAAGCGCGGAGAGUCCAAUGGGCGAGUUUAAAAUACACAAAACGAAGCGUAUCCGCGCGAUGGUGAAACUGGAACGCGAUCAUCCUUGUUUGCCUUGCGCGAGCCUUGCAUCGGAAUGCACUCUGUCUCUCGGCGGUAGUCGCCGGCAGGUUUUUAGAAAAAUAAAAGUCACCAGUUAAGUUUUUCCAUAAACUUUAUCGCCGGUCCUCCCGACGUCCUUGGAGGCAAAGCGGCCACUCCUACCAAGAGUCUUUCAGAAGUAUAUCGUCAUUAACGUCGCGACGGGGCACGACGAUCCUUCGUCUGCCGAUGUCAAGGAAUGCGAAACAAAACAAACCCCCCAGCUUUCCCUUCCCUCCCACAGAAUGUCACAUCCGUGUACACAUGCUAUUGCCUGGGUAGUUCGUUGAAAAUCCCAGCGGCUGAUAUUGUUACUGUCUUUGGAAUUAUUUUUCCAACUUGGUACUACACACCCUGCAGCCUGAGAACUGUCUCGGAUUCGGCUUGGCCACCAUUAAGAAACCGUUCGACGAUGACGACGUCAACGAACGUUUCCAUCGUCACAAUUCAUCCUGCUGACCCAACCUCGAGCUCUCUAAUUCUUAUCACUCACUAUCAGUGCCAUUUCGUAGAUACUCACAAGUACGUACAAUCUAUAUAUACAAAUGUCACAUACGUGUCUCCCUCGCUCUCUCUUUUCCCUAUCUUUUAAUUUAUACCUUGGAGAUGAUAGUCUGCUCGUCGCCUUAACCUCAAAAAACAUGACUAUAGCGACACACCCGAUAAAAGUACCCUGAGUGCUGCACUUGAAAAGUUUCUCUUGUAUACAUACGUCUACGCGAUCGAGAUAGGACUGAAAUUCCAGAGAGACAACAACGACGCACGAAACUCGGUUGGAUUAGCAUAUAAGUUAAAUGCAGAUGAUCCGACAAGCCGUGGAUGAACUCCCUAGAAAUUGUGUUAAGUGUGGCGCGAAUGGAAGAUCAGCAAAUAUCGUCGUGUAUAGUCACUGAUAUCCGAUCCCGUCAUUCCUUCGCGAGUUUACGGGGCUAUCCUCGAAAUUUCGAAAGCUAUCCAUCUAAAAGUUAAAUGAACUGGCGGAAUGCCGAUCGAGAAGAAUACUUGCGUGGUCCCCCGUAUCGAUCGAAGUAAGGAUGGUAAUCAUAUUUUCCGCUCGAGCGAUGAAGCUCAAUCGUAAAAUGAUCAGUUCAAAAAAAAAGCAUCUGAGUAUUAAUUUAUGCGUUUUUCUCAGUGUUCUAAUCGGUGUCAAUCGCUGCACGUAUCGACCUACUCAGAAAGAGCCGUUAUGUUGUAUCUCUCACUCCUAGCUUUUAGACUACUACGACAUGCUACAGUACCGGUCCGAUGCAUCGCUAUGCCAACGUCCUUAGGUUAUUACUUGGCAUAGCCUGUCCUCGUCCAUAGUAUAGUCUCCUCGCCUAGCAUUCUACGUAGGCGUAAAGCCGAACGCGUAGGCUCAUUCAUAGAUUAUUUUUAUAUGUCGCUUAUUCAGGCCACCACGAACCGAUCCUCCACCGAAGAACAAAGGAAGUCACUUGUAAAAUGAUGACAAGCCGAACCCUAUCUUUAACACCGACCACGUUAAUUGCUUCGAACGUAAAUAUACCGUUUCCGUGUGUCAUCGAAAUUCCUUCCAAUAAGUCCCAGUUAUCGAUUCAGUGAUCCCGUACAGAUCAGCAAUAAAUCAACCAAGCAGCGAAAGCCGACAGGGAAUGCCAUUUACUUUUAUUGGUAACCAUGCGCACUUGGACUAACCACCUUCAUCUAAUCCUUUUAGAUCUCCACUGUAUUUUAAUACCAGCAUAUCGAUGCUUACUUACAUAUUACGCUGUUUUACAGUUUAACGCAAGCUUUACAGUUAUCGCGGCGUCGUCAUUUUUCCAUAAUCCUAUAAAUGUCAUAAUCGGCUUUUGACUUGAAUGCGGAUGCGGAAGGUGACUGGGACAAAGAUCUCGUGAAAUCGCUGAUAUAUUUUUGGUGUGUUCGGUGAUCCGCGAUAAAAAUCGUGGCACACUGACCCGGUGCGUGUUUUAGAAUAACUUUAGAGCUCCGGCAAUAAUGAGACCGACUUGAUGUGAGACGUGCAUUUUAAUUUUCCAACCGGACGGGUCCGCCGAUAUCUCAUGUACCUACGUACCCACGUACGUGCUCCAGUACCGAAAGACAUUGUUAAUGUGUCGGAUUCGAACGGACCACUUCGAUUUCAGCACACGUAUUACAGGGACAGUUGUCAUAGAUGUUUUUACAAUUCGUAACACAUUACCAUGCCCGGAAAGUACUAUGAGUAUAGCGCCCUGACGUCUGACCGAUCCAUCAACAGGAUGUUAACGGGUAUUCCAGAUACAUGAUAAACGGGGAUGAACUCAUGGCGAACGUGAAAAUCAGAAAACAACGAUUUAACAAAAAAUAAUCAACUAAGCUAGGUAUAGACUAGAGUCUGGUACAGGCAUAUAGAAAAUGACGUGUAAAAGGAGUUAAAAUUAAAUAAAAGGGAAUGGCAGUGAUAAACGAGCCUGAUAUGGGGAUAAUUUUUGCUUAAAUAUUUAGGACACAUUGUAGGUCAGUAUGCCACGACUUUUAGAAUCCAGUAUCCAGUAAGUUCCAGCUCUGAAUUUUUCCUUCUUUUAUUAGAUUCUCAAUAGUCGAAGUAAACGUCACGCAUCGCGGAGCUUCACAACUUGGAGCGAUCGCUCUUCGUAAACGUUAUAGGCGAGUGUUUCCACUGGGAUCUUCUAACAGUAAAGAUACUUUUUAUUAGAAUUUUGCUUUUCAUCUACGUCAGCGUGAGAUCACCUCGGAGGGCAUUCUUGAAAAAAGACAAAUCAGCGACAGUGACGAGACGAGUGCUUGACUCCUCGUGUAUCUCUCAAGAGGAUAAAAAGUUGCGACUUUUACUUUGACGAUACGUGACAUACCCGCCGGCUGCAGUUGUAACGUGAACAAUCGCUGGGUUAUGGCUGUAUGUCAAAUACCAAUGAGUUAUUAAGACUUCACUUUGGAGUGACGUGAUGCUGCUAAAGUAUACGUUAAAUUAAAUAUACACAGAAAAUACACGGACACUCAAUCAUACAAGGAAGUACGUAAUGAUUAUUCGUCCAUCUUAAAUUUCUAAAAGCACAAAGACCCUAUUAUGACCCUAAGACCCUAUGAUUUCUCUAAAAAAAUUGUACUAGAUAUAAGUAGCAAAUUUCAAGGUAAUUUCGAGAAGGUAUCUCAAGCGAGUCACCCUGUAUAUUAGACGGUUAGUGGGAAACAGGAGUGUAGGGUGCGAGCCUUAGGCCCAGACGAAAUCAAUAGUAGGACAGGAUAAAUAGUACGGUUAAGUCAAUGGACUUUCUUCUUCCUGUUGUUUUCAGAAAGAGAAACAACUAGAGAGAAAGGUGAAGGCAGGUUUCGAAUACAAAGGAAAGUAAAGGAUAAAAGUAAUAUCAAACAUCUCUAAUCAUAUAGGGAACUUUCUUUAUGUCUCUAUGGAUAAGUAAUUGACAGCUCUUAUACCCAUAGACAAUAGAAUCAAUAAUGAAAUACUGUACUUGAAUUUAAAUCUUCCUUCACCGUGAACAGUCGGUACUCAAGUAAACGCCGUGAAAGACCGUCAGUGUUUAAUAAAGUAACAGCUUGAUCAUUCGAGUCAUUUAAAUAAAUCCUCCAUGAAGCCACAGCGAAUCUUGGCAGCCGUUCAAGCAUUCAUUAUUCAGUCCUCGAUGCACCCGUGACGCGAACGGGUACCAGCAGCUUUGUGCUCCUCGUAACCAUGGUGCAUUGACUCUGCUUAAGACUAAACCAUCAGCUUCGGCUAGUUAAUCGAGAUUUCCUGAAAUCGCCCUAACUGUGAAUACGGCAUUGCCAUUAAGAAAAUUCUUCCUUUUACCGGCAUGCGCGGCCGUUUUUAGUAAAUGCGAAUAGGUUCUCGGCUACUUAUGGAAAUAGGUUUAUUGGCCGGCUUUGCAGUCUACAUAAACGGAAAACGGCAUUUAGCGCACCCGACUACUGUUGCAAACGGCUGGCAGAAGUAAAUUGCAAGAAAGAUCCUACUUCCUUAGAAGAGUUCUGGCAAGCGAACAUAGAGGAACUUAAAGAUACACAUAAACGGUUUAGAUUCUACAGAGAUUCGAACUGGUGAUUGCGUGGGACGCAAACAGGUACUGAUCUACCCACUAGAACGGAGCUACAGUUCGUUUCAAGGAGGAUAGUACCUAUUCCUACAGAGAAAGUGUCAAAGAGAGACGAGCCUGCCGAUGGGUGCGUCUAUACUCGGAGAAAUAACUGCAAACGUCGCCAAGGGAUAUUUUGUCGUGCACCAAACAAAUCGAGCGGAACUAUUAUAAUUAAAGGCAAACUCGCAGAAUCUGCAUGUUUUUAUGGAUAACGUAAAAGUUCAUGUAAACUUGGCACGAUACAAUUUCAGCGGAAGGCUGACGCGAUGUGAUGCUUCUGCGGCGACGCUGGUGCAAAUUGCAAUUCGCCGGUCGAGCGCUUACAAUUGGUCGAAAUUGACGGCAAUUAGGGCCAAUGCACGUUGGAACAGUGAUUUCGCGUCGCGCAAUUCGACGAAGCGCGACGCGCGGGAUCGGGGUACCGCGCGACGAGACGAGUGGGAACUGGGAAGCCGACGAGGGAAUGACGAGAGAAGAUAAAAAGACUUGGCCUUGAGGUCCAUUUCUCCUUACAAGGGUUGCGAGAGAAUCGAGUGGCCUCGCGAAGUAUCACGUAGCGUCAUGACUUUAGGACAAUGUAUGUACUACGGCCGAGUAGCAUAAGCCGCACUUUGCGGUAACGAGAGAUCUUCGUGGCAUCGGAGCAUCGAUGCGUCAAAACGUCGCCGGGGAAGUUCAGAUGACGGCAGAAGGUCCAGUGGGAUGAAAUUUCAUAGAGGAAGGUAAUGCCGCUUUUCAACCGCACCCCUCUACCUCCCUACCUAUAUAUACUUCUUAUUUGUACUUGAUCUCUGCAUCGUCCUAUAUGAGUCUGCGAUAAAUCGAUUACCGUCCAAGAUGAUAGCAAUGUCGUUAUUACGUAUUACGUCCUGAAGAAAGCACCGAUUAACUUGGCUCCUCUAGACCCUUUAUCGUGGUCUUGCUUGAAUGACGUCAUUGUUCUAUGUUAAAGUGCACGCUAGCGAGGUUUAGUACAAUAUUUUGGCAGACGUGGUCCUGUACUGCGUGACUCACCGAAGCCAGAACACUCGAGGCAUUGUAUAACGAUACAUGGUAAUGGAGUGGUUGGCUGAAAGAAAGGGUAGUUUCUCCCUUAUCGAAUCCUAUACGAGCCCCACUUAACGGGUGAACACCCGAUAGCUGGGACUAUCGCAUGGACUGGGAAUUUUCUAUGGGCUUUCGGUGUGAGGGUUG